rnacentral:rRNA from 1 species
UNGGCGUAAAGGGCUNGCAGGNGGUUUNUUAAGUCUGAUGUGAAAGCCCCCGGCUCAACCGGGGAGGGUCAUUGGAAACUGGGAAACNUGAGUGCAGAAGAGGAGAGUGGAAUUCCACGUGUAGCGGUGAAAUGCGUAGAGAUGUGGAGGAACACCAGUGGCGAAGGCGACUCUCUGGUCUGUAACUGACGCUGAGGAGCGAAAGCGUGGGGAGCGAACAGGAUUAGAUACCCUGGUAGUCCACGCCGUAAACGAUGAGUGCUAAGUGUUAGGGGGUUUCCGCCCCUUAGUGCUGCAGCUAACGCAUUAAGCACUCCGCCUGGGGAGUACGGUCGCAAGACUGAAACUCAAAGGAAUUGACGGGGGCCCGCACAAGCGGUGGAGCAUGUGGUUUAAUUCGAAGCAACGCGAAGAACCUUACCAGGUCUUGACAUCCUCUGACAACCCUAGAGAUAGGGCUUUCCCUUCGGGGACAGAGUGACAGGUGGU